UACGAAGGGGCUAGCGUUGCUCGGAAUCACUGGGCGUAAAGGGUGCGUAGGCGGGUCUUUAAGUCAGGGGUGAAAUCCUGGAGCUCAACUCCAGAACUGCCUUUGAUACUGAGGAUCUUGAGUCCGGGAGAGGUGAGUGGAACUGCGAGUGUAGAGGUGAAAUUCGUAGAUAUUCGCAAGAACACCAGUGGCGAAGGCGGCUCACUGGCCCGGUACUGACGCUGAGGCACGAAAGCGUGGGGAGCAACAGG
rnacentral:rRNA from 1 species